rnacentral:rRNA from 1 species
UACAGAGGGGCAAGCGUUGUUCGGAAUUACUGGGCGUAAAGGGCGCGUGGUGGCCUGUUAAGUCGAACGUGAAAUCCCUGGGCUCAACCCAGGAACUGCGUCCGAUACUGGCAGGCUUGAAUUCGGGAGAGGGAUGCGGAAUUCCAGGUGUAGCGGUGAAAUGCGUAGAUAUCGGGAGGAACACCGGUGGCGAAGGCGGCGACCUGGGUCGGACACUGACGCUGAGGCGCGAAAGCGUGGGGAGCAAACAGGGAUUAGAUACCCGGUGUAAGAUC